rnacentral:rRNA from 1 species
UGCCAGCAGUCGCGGUUAAACCAAGAAAUUAAGUUAUAUAGUAAUGGUAAAAAGACAGUUAAACAUAUUUUACAAGUUUUUUGAUAUCUUAUAAAAAAGUAAAAUUUGUAUAUAAGUAAAUAAUUUUAUAGAAACUAAAAAGUUGAAGCUGUGAAAACCUGGAGGGAAACUGGGAUUAGAUACCCCACUAUUCCUGGCUGUAAAUUAAAACUAAAUUUACCAGAGUACUAUGAAUAUAAAAAAUUUAAAACUCAAAGGACUUGGCGGUGUUUUAGACCACUUAGGGGAACUUGUCUCAUAAUCGAUAAUCCACGUUAUACCUUGCCUUUCUUUGUUUUCAGUUUGUAUAUCGUUGUCGUCAGGUAACUUUUAAAAAAAUAGAAGUUAGCUAAAAAUUGUAAACUUAAACGUCAAAUCAAGAUGCAGCUAAUAGAAAGGAGAAGAUGAGUUACAAUUAUUUUAUUUAUAACUACGGGAAAUCAUAAGAAUUGAUGAUUGUAUAAGGAGGACUUAAAAGUAAAUUAGAUUAUAUAAAUAACUUGAAUAAGGCUCUGAAAUGUGCACACAUCGCCCGCCACUCU